rnacentral:rRNA from 1 species
CCGCACGCGCGCUACACUGAUACGUUCAUCGAGCUUACCACCUUGACCGGAAGGUCUGGGUAAUCUUUGAAAGCGUAUCGUGCUGGGGAUAGAUCAUUGUAAUUAUUGAUCUUCAACGAGGAAUUCCUAGUAAACGCGAGUCAUCAGCUCGCAUUGAUUACGU